rnacentral:rRNA from 1 species
UACGGAGGGUGCAAGCGUUAUCCGGAUUCACUGGGUUUAAAGGGCGCGUAGGCGGCCAGCACAAGUCAGUUGUGAAAUCUCCGGGCUUAACUCGGAAAGGUCAACUGAUACUGUGCGGCUAGAGUGCAGAAGGGGCAACUGGAAUUCUCGGUGUAGCGGUGAAAUGCGUAGAUAUCGAGAGGAACACCUGCGGCGAAGGCGGGUUGCUGGGCUGACACUGACGCUGAUGCGCGAAAGCCAGGGGAGCGAACGGG